UUAUGAAAAAAGAGGCAGUCAGAAUUUCCGAUAAUUCUUUAUUAGCACUUUCAUCCAUUCGUGAGGAUUUUUCAAAAUUUUAUAGAAAGUUUCUUGGUUUUUAUACAAAUAGAGAAGAGAAAAGAGAAAGGAAGGGAGUACUUGAAUACUCACAUUUGGCCCUCUCCAAACAUGUCAUUCUGUAUGAAAUCAAUCAACAUUGGAGUGAAUGUAUGUUUCCAUUUUAAAAUGGGCUAUGGACCUUUUGGGUUUAUUUCAUACUUUAUAAUUGUGACUGCUCUUACUUAAGGAUCAUUUUCUCAAUCCUCAACUUAAACUGAAAACACCUUCAUGGCAUAAAAAAUAUACAUACAUACAGAUGUGCAACAGUGUAUACAUUUGUGAGUGUGUGCAUGUGUAUAUGUAUGUGUGGAUAUAUGCAUAUAUGCAUGUGCCUGUUUAUAUGUAUGUAUGUGUGCGUAUGAUCAUAUGUAUGUGUGCAUGUAUGUAUAUAUACAAAUAUAUAUGGAUAUAUAGGCAUAUUGCUUUACAUGUAGGUGUGUAUGCAUGUGUGUAACAUGUGAGCAUAUGUAUAUAUUUACAAACAUAUUAAUAUGUAUAUAAGAGGAGAGAGAGAAGGAAGGAAAAAAAGAAAGGUGCCUGGGGUGUAUUGUGUGUGUGUAUGUUUAAAGUUUAUGUAUAUGAAUGUUUGCAAAUGUAAAUAUGUAUAUAAUAAGAGAGGCAUGCUUUCAAGACCAAUAACUAAAUAAAAAUUGACAUCUUAAAUUGUAAUUAAACGUCAACAGACUGACCACAUAGAUAUAAUAGAAUUGAAAAGAAGCCCUUUUUGCUUCAUCACUUUCAUUUUACUUCUCUUUUCUUUGUCUUUCCCUUUUGUGCUCCUUCCUGUCUUUUCUUCUUCCUUUCUGUAAAAAACAAAAUUGACAUCUUGAAAUAUUAUUAGUCACCUGUUCACAGACAAUCCCCUAAAAUAUAUAUUCUCCCUCUCUCUCUCCUCCUCUAUUCCUUCCUCUUUUCUCUUUCACCUCUUCUCUUCAUUUGUAUAAAAACCAAGAAACUUUCUAUAAAAUUUACUUUGAAAAUUCGUCAUGAAUGGUUGAAAGCACUUAUAAAGAAUUAUCCAAAAUUCUGACAGUCUCCUUGUUCUUAAUAUGCAAUAUCUGUUCAUCUCUUCAAACACUCCAUACAUAUUUAUUUCAAUGUCCAAAAUGUCAGAAUAAAUGGAUCAGAAUCAAACUCGUAACUGAGAGAUACCAGAAACAUGGAAGAACUUCUCACAGAAAUAUCUACUCCGUGCCUUAAUUCGAAUAUCCUAUGAAGAUGAAGAACUUUAUUCUCGCAUUUAUUUAUAGACAGCAUUUUGGCAACGGAUCGGAAACGGCCUUUCCUGAACAGUGGACUUCGUUUUUCAGCCAAAACUGAGUUGUUGACCCACAAGAGUCAGCUGAGUUAUACUUUUGGUGAAAAUACUGUUUAAAGUGUCAAGAUAUAUCAAAUAAAGCAAUUCAAAGUGCAACUGAAAUUGAGGAGCUCCCUACUUUUGCAGGUUUGUGAAAUCAGAAAAGGGAACCAUUUAGGAUUCUUGAGAGUUAUUCAAGAGGUGUAUUUAAAGAUAGUUGAUAUUUGAAGAAGAAAAAAAACAAAAAGGCAAUAUCAAUUAUAUAGAGAAAAAUUUAAAUGUGAAAAUAUUUCAGUUUUUCACUACACAAAUUACAUAAUCUCUUAUUCUUCUUGUAGGGAAAAAAAGAGAAAGCAAAAAUUGAAAAUAAAGAAAAGCAAAACAAACAUUUAAAGGUUGCAAGUUAAUAAAAAAAAUAUAUACUUCUAAAAAUUAACUCACUGAAUGGUAUCUGUUUUAAACAAUAUAGACUUGUGUAAAUGUAUACAAGCAUGCACACAUAUUCAUAAAUAUGGAGUUACACAUACAUUAUUGCUUGUACGAAUGUCUGUUAUCUGCCAGUAUAUUUAAAUUUUUGAAUUGAGCAUGAAUGUGUUCAUGUAUUUAGUGUUUCUAUAUGUGUGCAUAUGUUGGUGUGUUUCUAUAUUUGUGCAUAUCUAUCAUUAUGUAUGUAUCAUUUUACAUACAAACACAUGCACAGAUAUACCACACACACAUAUAUUUAUCCUUAUAAAGCUCUGUGUGUAUGUAUGUGUGUCUGCAUGUAAAAAGGAUUUUUUUGUAUGCAAGGAAAAAAACGUGGAAAAUUGGAAAACAUCUACACUAAAACUGAGAAGAUCUCAGGAAAAAAAAAUCAGUGAAAUCCAACCUACCAAUAACUAUUUUAAAAAAUCCAUAAUCAGAUUAAAUUUUUUUCUAUAAGCUGUGAUAUUUUUGCGAUGCCUUGGAUCUUCCUAAUUUACUGAAUGGAAUCAUAAGGUGCGGAUAUUACCGGAAUGCUAUUACCUUUGCAACAUAUUUUACAACUAAUACAGCGAGAGGAUGUUGAUGAUUUUGAUGACAUUAGUGAUGUGAAAGAAAACUGCAGUGGCUAUCAGAGUAUUUUUAUCCUGAUAUCACUGCUGUGAAUGAUCAGAAAUCUAUGUCAUCUGCAGUUGUACCGCCAAUUCAUGUAAACUAAUAAUCAAAAUUCCCAGAUGCAUGUGUAAAUAUAUACAUGUAUAUAUAGAUAUAUGCUUAUAUGUCUAGAUGUGCAUUUGGGUAUGGAUUUAAACAUUAAUAUGUCUAUAGGUCUUUCUGGAUGAACAUCUAUAAAUGUUAAAUUAGGUACAAAAAUCUAUAAAUUCAUAAGUUUACAUAAGAAUAUAUACAUGCAUCUAUGUGUGUGUGUGUGUGUAAUAAAUACAUAUAUAAAGCAAACACUCUCAUAUUCCAUAUACAUACAUACAUUCUACACAAAUGCACAUCCAUAUUUAUUCAUUUAUCCACUUUUGUCACCCUGUUUCUUUAUUUGACUGUCUGUCUUUCUGUGUUUACAUAUAUAUGUAUAUGUUAGAUUUAUGCUCAGAAUCUAGUGGACAACUUGUACGUAUGUUAAUGUAUUUUAAUUGUAUACAUAGACAAAUAAACAUCCAUUUUAAGCAUACAUACACAAACAUAUAAUUACUUCUCUUUCAUUCAUUCACAUUCUCUCAUUCAGACACACACACACACACACACACAUGCACACACAUAUACACACAUGUGUGUGAGUGUGUAUUUCCUGUUUACUUCAUGUUUAUAGAUAUUUUAUUGUGCCACUAAAGCUGUUCAACAAU